GGGAGGAUCUCAUUGAUGUCUACAAAACCCGAAAGGCGUCCCAAUGUGGGGGAAGAGAGGCUCAGCCCGUCGACUGAUCCCAGGAGUCAGGAGAUCCUCAGGAUGGUGUAUUUCCUCGGGAUGGUGGAGCUUGAGUGACUCUAGUCAAGCAUAUCUUAGUUAUGACUGGUGAAAAGUUUUCCCAUCUCUGUUUAAAGGUAUAGGCUCCAAGAAAUUCAGAGCACGUGCUCAGUAAGGGGUGGUUGCACUUUGGAGGUGGGUAGCUUUUGGGGUGGAGGUGUGUUUUGGUAUUAUAAUGAUAUUAUAAUGAGCAAAAGUACACUAGAGUACAGCAUUUGUCAAAAC